CUGCCCUCAAGCACGGCUUGUGUGUUGGGCCCUCGUCCCCCUAGUCUGGGGGACGGGCCCGAAAGGCAGCGGCGACACCGCGUCUGGUCCUCGAGCGUAUGGGGCUUUGUCACCCGCUCCCAGGCCCAGCCGGUGCCCGCCGACCCUCAACCAUGUAUUCUCCA
rnacentral:misc_RNA from 1 species